UUUUUUUUUUUAACUUUUGGAUUGCAGGCUUAAAUGAAACCUCACUAGAAUGGGGCUUAUACAGACAUGGCUUCAAAAUGAAGUCUUGAUAUCAGGCACAAUCUGACCCAUUAAGUGUUCUUCUCGGCUAUCAGCCUCUGCGUCGUCAAAGCCCUAAAAUCAGAUUACUUCACAUUGCUGUUGAGAUUCCAUAUUGGGAUUUGACAUUUGCGUCUAUUUCGAGAUUUGCCGCCCUUGACCAGCCAGAGCACUGUCAGCAUUUCCGCUGCUUCUGAGCAGCAUGUCCCACAUGCCCACACAUCUGCGCUGCAAUGUGAGGUGCUGAGCCAUGCCAACCAGAGCUCAGCAUGGCCUACUUGAGUUUUAACGUAGCCUUGCUCACUAUGUCUCUUGGUUUGAUGGUGAAAAUCCCCUCCUAAUAGUUCUAGAUGAACAUAAUACUAUGGGUGCGUUUGGUUCGCGCUAUCUUUUAAAAAUUCCUAGUAAUCCAAUGGGAAUAAAAAAAUAUGACGGUGAUUGGUUAAACGCAUUAAGUAAUCUAGUUGGUAAUAUUAGAUUCACUUGGGAAUAAGAUUCACCCCAAAGUACUAAUCUCAUUCCCUUGAGGGAGGGUGUGUAUCCUCAUAUUAAUGAAUUGGGGUAAUCAUAAUAUGUCUAAUCUCUUUCUUUCUUCUUAUCCGCCGGCUAAUUGAUAUUAUUUUUCUUUACACUCCAACCUUAUAUCUCUCUCUAAACUUAUUUUUCUCUCUAAAAUUCAACUUUUUUUUCUCUCUCUAAACUAAGCUUUCUCUCUCUCUCUUUUUCUAAAAUUUCAACUCUCUCACUCCCUCUAAUUUCGACUAUAUUUUUCUUUCUAUUUUUUUAAUUAUGCUCUCUCUCUCUAACUUAUACUCUCUCUCCCUUUUUUCUAAAAAGAUGUUGAAACUUUUGGUAACAUUAUCUAAAAUUAAUUAAAUAAAUAAAUUAAUUAAUUGUAUAUUUUUUGUAAUAUUAAAUAACAUGGCUAAUUAAUAUUACCGUGCGAACCAAACACAGGAAUUCCACAUUCUUAGUAAUAGGAUGAAUAGGAAUAAGAUUCUCGGAUAUCUUUUAUUUCUAGUAAUCUUUUAUAAUGCGAACCAAACGCACCCUAUAAGUUAUCCUUCAGUCAAUACAGGUGCUUGCCACUAAUAGUCUGGUUAUUUAAAUCUGAUACAAUUAUACUAUGAUUUUUCUGCAUUGAAGGAUCCCACUAGGUACAUAUUCCUUGAAGGUACUGAAAGAAGACCAGAAAGGGCAUCAUCUACCAGGUAUUAUGCUUCAACACAAUUUGAUUGCACUGAUACAUAAACAAUUUCUCCUGAUUCCAAUGAUUUGGAUUUUCCUUUGAACAUGGAUUUUGACCACAGUGAUCUUAAGUCUAGGGUUCUUCUUAUGACUAUGAUAAGCUAAUCAGGUCUCUAAAGUAAUGUCAACCGCCAGCUGCAGUGAUGAUCCUUUUCUCCCAAUGCGAAACAAAAUGAACAAAACUAUGCGAAACAACCAUAAUCUCGUUCAUCUUACAUAGAAUCGGUAUCUCUGCCCUGUGCAGAAAAACUAUGACGAAGCAGGUUUGUAUUCUUGCUUAGCUCACAUACUGACAGUACUUCCAUUUGCUGGAAUGUAUUAUUGAUGGACACCUAUUUAACCUCCAAGCAUGCUAUAACUAGUCUUACAAGAUUUUACUUGAAGUACUGAUUCAUUUUGUUUUGUUUGUGAUUCUUAGAUUUACCAUCAUUCAUACUCUGCCGGUGGACUAUCACAAAAGGUUUAACUGUCUAAGUUUGAGAGAUAUUCCAAUUAUUAUAUUGUUGUGAAAUACUGAUUUUCAUGCAUUUUUUUCUUUUUCCCCCAUUUUACUGCUUAGGUUCUAAGUUCUAGCACAUGUGAAUGGCAAAGUGGUAAGACAAAAAAUGCAUGACUGGAAGAUCAAAAUGGGUAUCAAUGUACGAGGUAGUACACCGUGUCACAAUCUGAGCUUGUUCUACAUUCGGUACUUCAAGAAUGGUAAGUCAGUAGUCAGUCAUUUAUAAAUACUUGUUCCAUAAAAUGUGAUACUAUUAUUUAUCUGCAUUAACAUGUAUUCAAGUGUCUCACUUUUUUCUAGUUAUCAAAGAAUAAGCAAAGAAGGGUAGAAGGACACUAAUCUAUGGUAUUAGCUACAGUGGCAAUUGUGAGUUAUACAUUAAAAAAUAACUACAUACACUGUUGCAAGGAUUUAAAUGCCCAUCGGCACGGGCCGUAUCGUGCCAACAAAAUAUCGGUACGAUGUAACUCCCGUGUCGAUGGCACAGCUUAAAACUCUCCAUUCUUUAAAUUAGUAAGUAUUUUCUUCAGUAAAGUUCAAAAAAAUUGAUAAAAAUACAUAAUAAAUAGUUAGAAUAUUUUGUUGCUAAAGAAAAUAAAUAUUUUAUACUAUUCUGCGUCAGUAUAGAUGAAUUUUUUGUGACCGGCAUGCAUCGUGCCGUACCAUGUUGGCAAGUUUCUGGCACGACUCUGUGCCACGGCAAUUAAAUCCUUGCACUGUUGCACAGUAGUUCAAUUUAAAAUCAAGUUAGAUUCUUUGUAUGCCUAUGUUGAUUUUAAAUGAUAAAUCAAUAACAAAUCAAGCAACAAAACUAUGUAGUAAUAUAUGAAUUAGUUUCUAUUUUCUAAUGGGAAUUCUAUCCUAUUAGUUCAGUUUGAUAGUUACUUAGAACUAUUUCUAUAUCAUAAUAUUAAACAGCAGAUAAAUAAAGAUAUAACACGCGUGCAAAAUUAGAAGAUUUAUUAAUUUUUUGGGCACAAUUCAAUUAAGUAAUGUCGUUAUGGAAACUUAUUUCACAUGUGGGUUGUUUGUUUCACAGUUUGUAAUAUUCGGGGAAUCCUCCAUAUUUUCUACUCAAAAUAUUCAAAUCGUCACUCUUCAACUCUAGUUGGGAAAUUGUAAGAGGUGUGGGUGAAGUUGUGAAAUCAUCAUAGGUUCCCCACUAGUAGGAAUAUUACAAGGGUUAGUAGGUUUCGCCAUUCCCAUACUUGAUAGGAAUCAUAAGCUCUAUCAAGUUCUAACACCUUCCCAACUCAUGUGGUGCAGUUAGUUGGUCAACAAACUAGCCAUUCCAAGUAUAAAAUAUAUAACAUUCCUGCAAUGCUAUCGACCGGUAAAACGAGCGAGCCCUCAAGAAUAUAUCCAAGUCUUAUGUACAAAAUUCCCAGGUAUUCUCCUGAUAUUUCACUUCAAGGAUAGUUUAUUGUGUGUUUUGGCUACUUCAAUGAAGGGGCUUUAACUUAUAAACUCUUGUUCAUUAUGUCUCGAGAGUUGCCUUGGAAAAUUCAGGUUUAUUACGAUAUUUUUAUUUUAAAUAUAGUUACCUUGAUUCUUCUAUUCAUCAGCUGGAAUGGAUUGCUACAAAUUGUAUUUGAUGCUUUCUGCAUUAGGUAAUACAUAUGUUUACCUUUAUUUUAUUCUAUAUAGUAAUGAUAUUUUUUUCCUAAUAAGAAAACUUUAAUAAUGAUCCUUCCACUCAUAGUGUCACCCUGACAUGGUGCCCUUGGGGUUGUCUCGUGCAUGCUGAUUUUUUAAGGCACUGAGGUUCAGGAUGGCGGACAAUACAAUACAUUAUCUCACGACUGAAGAGAAAGAGAAGAGAGAUCCAGAGAUGGUCGAGUUGUAAUCAUAUCAGACUCGGAUUGAGCCAGGUGAGACUCGUAACAUUUGACCAGGUGGUACAACUUUUCUGAAUCAUAACUACUCUUACUAAUAACUGAAGAGAACAAGAGAAGAGAGAGCCAGAGAUGAUCGAGUUCUCAUCAGAUCAGGCUCAGAUUGAGCUAGGUGAGACUUGUAACCUUUGAUCAGGCUAUACAAUUACUUAUCUCAAUACUUUAUCCAAGAUUUCACCUCAUUCAGAAUCUUUUAAGUUUUGACUUUUAAAUCACCUAGCACCAAUUAUAUUUCCUCAAAAGUUUUGUUUAUUCGGAUGGAAAUUGAGACUUUAGCGUCAAUUGAUGUCCAACACGUGGAAACUUAUCUAUUGGGUCUUUGAUGGAAAGAUCUUGAUUGAAACAACUAAAAAAAUCUGUUCAAAAUCUGAUUGCAAAAAUUAGAAUGUUGGGUGCUAGGAUAAAAACUCGAGGCUAAAAACACCAGUCACAGAUAGGCCUAAAUACUGUUGAAAUCAUCUCUAGCAAUGUUAUCUAAUUCCUGUGGAAUAGGGUUUGAUGCGGUUUUGUUUAGGUCCUAUAUAUUUUUCGUUGCAACUUGUGAAAUUACCAAAUUUAAACAAGGUCUAUUGGUAAAAUUAAUGGACAGAUUUUAUGUUUGACUCAUAAUUUUUCUUUCUGAGGAAUUUGCUAUUCCAUUUAAAGCAAUGCAACCUAUACACCCAAAAAGUGGUGUGAGAUUCACACUCUCCCAUCCAAGGGUUUGUGCUGUAAGUAGCAUUUCUCUUCUAUUUAUUGCAUUGCAGUGUAUAUUUGCACCUAUUUUUAUUCCCAUGCUUCAAAGUACUGUUAGAAGAUUUGUGCCUAUUAUUUUGAUUUUUCUUUAUUUUUGGUUCUAGUCUCUGGUUCUUAGAGGUUUUAAAGUUUGCAGAUUGUUCCAAAAAAUUGAAGUUUGAUAGAGAUAUUCGAGCUAUUAUUAUUGUUGCACUAUCCUGAUUUCAUCAAAGCUUUUUAUUGUUUUUAAUUUUUCUGCUUAUGAUCUAAUUCAUGCAAAUAUAAAUUGUAAAAAUUAAAGGUACACUCCUGCUGAAUCACUGAGUCUGCAUUUAGUUCUGUUGCUCCUCCUCACUAUUUAUACAACACUAUCUUCACUAGCUUAAAUCAAACGCCAAUUUUCUCAAAUUCAAACAUUAGUUACAUAUGCUUCUAUAUUAUCAUUCUGUAUUAUCUGUUAGUUCUUGUAACAAGGAAGUAAGAGUUUAGUUAGUUGAUGCAGUUUCUUCUUGAUCCUUGUUAUUUGUCUGCUUUUUGUUCUAUGUUUUUUGCUCCUAAUCCUUACAAUCACCCCUGCCUGUUAUUCUAAAGGUAUAAUGUUUGGAUAGGCUGCAACUGAAAUGUAAUGCCUGUAGAAAAGGAGGUGAGUCGUCAUUUGGAGGUUUCCGAAGUGGUGAAUCAUCAUUUCGAGGUUUCCUUUUAAGUUUUUAGCUUGCCUUUUCUCCUUUCUGAAGUCCAUUUGGAGGUUUCCUUUUAAUUUUUUAGCUUGUGCAUAUACUUUUCUUGAUGGUAUUAGUAAGUACAUAUAUCAGUACGUGAACAGUUGCAGUCUGCUGGCGGUUGACAACUAAACAUCACCCUGGAAUUUGAUGCUCUCUCCCCCCCCCUCCCUGUAAUGCCACUUACCUCAUCUUAAAAACUAGCAGAGCUAGGACCGACAUUCAUAGAGGAUGCAAUAUACGAUACCUUAGGAUUAAACAAAUACCUUAGGAUUAAACAAAUAAUAAAGCUAAAUCUUCCUAUCCAUAAAAAUGUGGUCGUUUCCUUUGAUUUGGGUUCGAAUAUUUUUAUAAUAAUGCAAGGGUUAUGGUCUAGAGGCUUUUAGUUCGAAGGAGUAUUUCAUUUAUUCUUUUGCAAGGAUCUCUCAGGCUAUAACUAGGUGCUUCUAUCUUAGAAGAGCAUUCAAAGGCAGAUCUAAUAAUGGCUUUUAAUGGUUGUAUUUUGGUUAAAGCAAGCAUGUCUUAACAGAGCAUACAAAGACAGAUCUAGUAAUAGCAGGUAUGGUUGUAUUUUGGUUAGAGCAAGAAUGUCAUUAUCUGUUGUGCCAUCUCUAAAUUCAUUCCCUAUUAAUUAUUCAUACUUAUUCUGCCAAUCGUAGAGUAGUUUAUAUAGAAUGUAAAAUUAUAUACAGAAUAUGAUUUAUGGUUGAAGUAUAUUUUGGUCUCAAGCAUGUAAGAAUGCAUAUCUUAAUCUAACCCCUUAGUUUCUGGGACACUACAACUUACUGUUGUUUUAUUCUAAAUGCCCUUGUAAUUGGAUGACUUGUCUUAUAUCAUGUGAAAACAUUGUAUUUGCCACGUAUUAUUUGGAUUGGGAUUUAUUCUUGGUCCUCCAUAACUUCUGUAUUUUUCGAUUUUCUGACCCGCUUUGUUUUCUUUACUUGGGGGGCCCUUACUAAAAACAAUUUUCAAGUAUUCCUCUUUUCUUAGUGUAAUCAUAGCAUGCUCUGAGAGGUAAAAGCUGAUUGAUCAAUGUAAGAAGAUGGAGGUGACACAAACUUCCUAAUUCAGGGAGCCCUCUUUAGCCCUCACCAGAUUUUACAUCUGGAUUCUUCGCCUUUCCAAUGAUGGAUCCACCUGGUUGUCAAUGAUCUCCUGGGGACCUAUUCGUACUAAUUUCAUUGACAGCCUGUAACUAUUGUUCAUCUUGCUGUUUCCUUCUAUUUUCUUCCUGCUUGUUUCCUCAUAUAGGCAUCACUGCACCACUCUGCGCACACAUAGGUUAUAGGUGUGAGGUAGAGUAAAUGAUGUUACACAGAAAGCCUUCGUUGGCGUAGGGCCCAUUCAUACCACGAUUAUUACUCGAGAUCAGAAAUAAAAACAAAGGAUGGGAACAUGUACUCUCCAGUACAGGUGCUCUGGUGCUUCUUUCAAUGUCCAUGUGAAGAGUUUUGUAGUAUUAGAUGAAUGGAAUGACGUGGUAUAUACUUUUCACCAAAGGCAAACAGAGAUGUAUUGACUUAAUGCUUUAGUGCCUUCCUCACGCGCUUUGGGUUGAAGAUAAGAAGUAUAUGAUGUAAAAUUAUAAUUUAUAUAAUAAAUAAUUUAAUAAAAAAAUAAUAUAAUUAUAUUUUUAUAUAAUUAAAAUUUAAUUUAAAAUAACUAAAUUAUUUUAAAUUAUAGUAAUAUAACAAUAAAAUUAGAAAGUAAAAAAAUAUUAAUACUUAGAUUAAUCAAUUUUUAUCAUAUUUUAAUUAUACAAACUAAAUAAAAAAAAUAUUAAAAUUUAACUAAUUAAUUUUUAUCAUAUUUUAAAUAUGCCAACUGAAUAAAAAAAUAAUUAGUAGCAUAAUUAAAUAUAUUUAAAUAUAAUUAUUUUUAUCUACCAUAUUUAUUUUAUUAUUUUUCUUCAUCUUUCUUCACCAUAAUUGACUUCGGCGAAGGACCACACCGUGCCGGUGCGGCACGUACCGUGCCCCCUAAGAAAGGAGCACGGUACGGGGGGGUCUCGGACCCCCCAUGCCGCACGAGACAAAGCGGAACGCGUUAGGGUGUCGCGGCACUGUGCAGUGCUGCAGCUUUGGUUUUUUUUUUUUUUUUUUUUUUUUUUUUUUUUUUUUUUUUUUUUUUUUUUUUUUUUUUUUUUUGCUUUUUUCUUUUUUCUUUUGUUCUCCGGCGUAUCGAGUUCCCCCCGGGCCACCUAUAUUUUUUUUUUUUUCACUUUGUUGUCUUUUUUUCAACUUUUUUUUUUACUUUUUGAUGGAUGCCUUUUUUUAAACUUUUUAUUUAUUAAUAGAGGAGCAAAAUAUUUUGUCAAAAAUUGUCGCACCGCGAAAUUUUCGGUGAAUUAAGGGAAUAAAAAUCGAUCUCCUAAACAAAUUUUGAUCAGAUAUUUUUAAAAAGAAUAAAAGAACAAAAAAAUAUUGAUGUAAUAUCGGGAAUAUCUGACUUUUUCACAAAUACCAGCAAUACUUAUAUCAAAAUUGUCAAUUAAAUAUUAUAUCUGCAGAUGACAAUACGCCAUAUGAUCAAGCGCGAUGAUCUAUGUCGAAUUAAGCAGUCAUCUCUAUGUAAAGAUGUAAAUUUAAAUAAUUAUUGUACUUGUGAAUUUUAUUAUUGUAUUUUAAUUUCUAUUCUAUAUCAGGUAUAGUUGUAUUUUACUUACAAAUUACAUGUAUAUUAAUUGAUGAGUAUAGUAAGAUAUACAUAAUAAAUAUUCAUAAUUAUUUAUUUAAACUUUUCAAAAUAAUAUUAUAAGAGUUUAUUGGAACUAAAAAACUGAAAUAAGUUUGUGUCAAAACGUGCCAGUAGAAGGUCAUACGUAUCUAUCGGCACGCAAGUGUGCCACGUAUCGGCACGCAAGCGUGCCUGUGCCGUACCGUGUCAGGGACAUAACGGCACACCCCCAUGCCACGGCACUUUAAAUCUUGACUUCGGUCCACGAUGGGCCAAAGUCGAUUACGCCGUUUUAGAUUAAAUCGAGUUUCGACCGUAAUUUUUUGAAAGUAUCGUUUAUGGUGAAAAUGACUUUCCCCCUCUCAACUUUUACCUCAUU
rnacentral:lncRNA from 1 species